CCCCCUGCCUGCCACCUGCGACAGGAACCGGUUUAAUAAUCUUGCUUUCUUUAAGAAAAUUAGCAUAUGUGUGCCCAUCACACUUAAGGUGUCAUCCGGGGCCACAACUGCUGAUGAAACGACCACAUGUCACGCGCUCACUAGAUGCGCAAGAACAAAAUCACCUCGUGACAACAGGCUAGAAUCCAGACAGAACAACUGGCACCUUCCCCUGCCGUAGGGUGCUUGAAAUGCUCAAACCCACAUCCUCCUGCUUUUCUCGUUUUUAUCAGACUUUGAGCCCAAGUAAGCAGCUUACACACAUGUAAGACACUAUGAGGACGCUUGGCCAGAGUCAUGGCCCAGACAAGCAAGGACCCACCGUCAUUUUUAAUAUCUAUACACAUGCAGCCCUCACGGGGUUUUUUAUUUUUCUUUUCUUUCAGAGGUACAAUUCCCAUGCUGGGAGAUUUUGUUGCCAAAUAGAAGUCCCUGUGACCAAGGCACCGUGAGGCCAAACUGGAACAUCGGAGUUUGAGGCAGAGAAGGGUUUACUGCAGGGCCGAGCAGGGAGCACAGGGUGGCUCUGGCCCAAGAAAACCCCAAACUCCUGGAAGGGGUUCAGCAAAUCAUGGUUAAAGGCCAGGGUGAGGACACGGCAGGAAGGUGGCCGUCUGCAAGCCAGGAAGCGAGCCCUCACCAGAACGCGACUGCCACAGACUGACUGUUCGUGUUCCCCUCCCUGCAAAUUCACACGUGAAAUCCUAAUCUCCAAAAGGACUGUUCUCUGAGGCGUGGCCUUCGGGAGGUAAGGCUACCCCCUCACGACUGGGAUUCGGGCCAUUAUACAGGAGCCCAGAGGGCCCCUCACCCCUCGCACCACGUGAGAACACAGCAGUGAACCAGGAAGCAGCAUCUCACAAGGCACUGGAUCUGGUGGCACCUUGAGCUUGGACUUCCCAGCCUCCAGAACCGUGAGGAAUAUGUCCCUAGAGUUUAUACGCCACCCAGUCUGGGGCAUUUUGUUGUAGCAGCCUUAAUGGACUAAAACCCUGACCGUGCUGGUGCCCUGGCCUCAAACGUCCAGCCUGCAGAACUGUGAGAGAACGAGUGUUCGAUGUUUAAAUCUGUGGUAUUUUGUUAAGACGAGAAGCAACAAGAGACAUGACCCCUCCACCGAAAGGGCCAGGGAACUGCAUGGAGUGAGCCAGUCGAGGCUGGGCCUGACGACCAGGAUCCAUAGGUGCGUCUGCGUGUUUGUGAGCAUCUUCACAGCCCUCAAUCUGAAAGACCAGCUAAAAACACAGGGAAGGGCUUUUCUUCACCAAGGAAAAGCCAUCUCCAGAUUCUUCAGUUGAGACUCAUUUUACUGACUUGCAAGACGAAGUUUAAAUAUUGAACUUCAGAGCUGCAAGGACCGUGAGGCAUUACCUAGGACAAAAUUCCAAAAUUCCUACUGCAGGAUGUUGUGAAGCAGGAGUUAUUUGAAUACAC